rnacentral:rRNA from 1 species
GGCCUUUCGGGGUACACGAGCGGCGAACGGGUGAGUAACACGUGGGUGAUCUGCCCUGCACUCUGGGAUAAGCUUGGGAAACUGGGUCUAAUACCGGAUAUGACCACAGCAUGCAUGUGUUGUGGUGGAAAGAUUUAUCGGUGCAGGAUGGGCCCGCGGCCUAUCAGCUUGUUGGUGGGGUAAUGGCCUACCAAGGCGACGACGGGUAGCCGACCUGAGAGGGUGACCGGCCACACUGGGACUGAGACACGGCCCAGACUCCUACGGGAGGCAGCAGUGGGGAAUAUUGCACAAUGGGCGGAAGCCUGAUGCAGCGACGCCGCGUGAGGGAUGAAGGCCUUCGGGUUGUAAACCUCUUUCAGCAGGGACGAAGCGUGAGUGACGGUACCUGCAGAAGAAGCACCGGCUAACUACGUGCCAGCAGCCGCGGUAAUACGUAGGGUGCGAGCGUUGUCCGGAAUUACUGGGCGUAAAGAGUUCGUAGGCGGUUUGUCGCGUCGUUUGUGAAAACCCGGGGCUCAACUUCGGGCUUGCAGGCGAUACGGGCAGACUUGAGUGUUUCAGGGGAGACUGGAAUUCCUGGUGUAGCGGUGAAAUGCGCAGAUAUCAGGAGGAACACCGGUGGCGAAGGCGGGUCUCUGGGAAACAACUGACGCUGAGGAACGAAAGCGUGGGUAGCAAACAGGAUUAGAUACCCUGGUAGUCCACGCCGU